rnacentral:rRNA from 1 species
GAUGAACGCUGGCGGCGUGCCUAAUACAUGCAAGUCGAGCGAACAGACGAGGAGCUUGCUCCUCUGACGUUAGCGGCGGACGGGUGAGUAACACGUGUAUAACCUACCUAUAAGACUGGGAUAACUUCGGGAAACCGGAGCUAAUACCGGAUAAUAUAUUGAACCGCAUGGUUCAAUAGUGAAAGACGGUUUUGCUGUCACUUAUAGAUGGAUCCGCGCCGCAUUAGCUAGUUGGUAAGGUAACGGCUUACCAAGGCAACGAUGCGUAGCCGACCUGAGAGGGUGAUCGGCCACACUGGAACUGAGACACGGUCCAGACUCCUACGGGAGGCAGCAGUAGGGAAUCUUCCACAAUGGGCGAAAGCUUGACGGAGCAACGCCGCGUGAGAGAUGAAGGUCUUCGGAUCGUAAAACUCUGUUAUUAGGGAAGAACAAAUGUGUAAGUAACUAUGCACGUCUUGACGGUACCUAAUCAGAAAGCCACGGCUAACUACGUG